rnacentral:rRNA from 1 species
UGGGGAAUUUUGGACAAUGGGCGAAAGCCUGAUCCAGCAAUGCCGCGUGUGUGAAGAAGGCCUUCGGGUUGUAAAGCACUUUUGUCCGGAAAGAAAUCCUUGGCUCUAAUACAGUCGGGGGAUGACGGUACCGGAAGAAUAAGCACCGGCUAACUACGUGCCAGCAGCCGCGGUAAUACGUAGGGUGCAAGCGUUAAUCGGAAUUACUGGGCGUAAAGCGUGCGCAGGCGGUUUGCUAAGACCGAUGUGAAAUCCCCGGGCUCAACCUGGGAACUGCAUUGGUGACUGGCAGGCUAGAGUAUGGCAGAGGGGGGUAGAAUUCCACGUGUAGCAGUGAAAUGCGUAGAGAUGUGGAGGAAUACCGAUGGCGAAGGCAGCCCCCUGGGCCAAUACUGACGCUCAUGCACGAAAGCGUGGGGAGCAAACAGGAUUAGAUACCCUGGUAGUCCACGCCCUAAAACGAUGUCAACUAGUUGUUGGGGAUUCAUUUCCUUAGUAACGUAGCUAACGCGUGAAGUUGACCGCCUGGGGGAGUACGGUCGCAAGAUUAAAACUCAAAGGAAUUGACGGGGUCAUAGCUGUUUCCU